AUGGCAAUAUUUUGACUUCGGAUACUUUUGAGUUGCCGUAGACCUGUCUUCAAUGCCUUUCCCCCCACAGGCGACGUUGACUACAGCACCGUGCUCCUUGGCAUGCUGGUGACGCAGGACGUGCAGCUCGGGCUCUUCAUGGCCGUCAUGCCGACUCUUAUACAGGCGGGCGCCAGUGCAUCUUCUAGGUCACGGAGCUGCUGGAUGUAUCCAUGGAGCUGGGCUGUUUCCUGGCCGGAGCACUCAUCUCCUCUCAGGGCCCCGUGGUCACCGAGAUCGCCACCUCCAUCGAACCCAUCCGCGACUUCCUG
rnacentral:sRNA from 1 species